GAUGAACGCUAGCGGCAGGCCUAACACAUGCAAGUCGAGGGGUAGAGGUUGCUUGCAACCUUGAGACCGGCGCACGGGUGCGUAACGCGUAUGCAAUCUGCCUUGUACUGAGGGAUAGCCCAGAGAAAUUUGGAUUAAUACCUCAUAGUAUCUUUUCCCGGCAUCGGGAGAUUAUUAAAGUUCCAACGGUACAAGAUGAGCAUGCGUCCCAUUAGCUAGUUGGUAUGGUAACGGCAUACCAAGGCAAUGAUGGGUAGGGGUCCUGAGAGGGAGAUCCCCCAAACUGGUACUGAGACACGGACCAGACUCCUACGGGAGGCAGCAGUGAGGAAUAUUGGUCAAUGGGCGCAAGCCUGAACCAGCCAUGCCGCGUGCAGGAUGAAGCAUCUAUGGUGUGUAAACUGCUUUUAUACGGGAAGAAACACCGGUUCGUGAACCGGCUUGACGGUACCGUAAGAAUAAGGAUCGGCUAACUCCGUGCCAGCAGCCGCGGUAA
rnacentral:rRNA from 1 species